rnacentral:tRNA from 10 species
UGCUCUGUUAGCUCAGUCGGUAGAGCAACUGACUCUUAAUCAGUGGGUCGCGGGUUCGAACCCCUCACAGAGCACCAG